CUACGGGACGCUGCAGUGGGGAAUAUUGGACAAUGGGCGCAAGCCUGAUCCAGCAAUGCCGCGUGAGUGAAGACGGCCUUAGGGUUGUAAAACUCUUUCGCUAGGGAAGAUAAUGACUGUACCUAGUAAAGAAGUCCCGGCUAACUCCGUGCCAGCAGCCGCGGUAAUACGGAGGGGACUAGCGUUGUUCGGAAUUACUGGGCGUAAAGAGUUCGUAGGCGGACUGACAAGUUAGAGGUGAAAUCCCAGGGCUCAACCCUGGAACUGCCUUUAAAACUGUCAGUCUAGAGUCCGGAAGAGGUUAGGGGAAUACCUAGUGUAGAGGUGAAAUUCGUAGAUAUUAGGUGGAACACCAGUGGCGAAGGCGCCUAACUGGUCCGGUACUGACGCUGAGGAACGAAAGCGUGGGGAGCAAACAGGAUUAGAUACCCCUGUAGUC
rnacentral:rRNA from 1 species